rnacentral:rRNA from 1 species
GACGAACGCUGGCGGCGUGCCUAAUGCAUGCAAGUAGAACGCUGAAGGAGGAGCUUGCUCUUCUGGAUGAGUUGCGAACGGGUGAGUAACGCGUAGGUAACCUGCCUGGUAGCGGGGGAUAACUAUUGGAAACGAUAGCUAAUACCGCAUAACAGUAGAUGUUGCAUGACAUUUGCUUAAAAGGUGCAAUUGCACCACUACCAGAUGGACCUGCGUUGUAUUAGCUAGUUGGUGGGGUAACGGCUCACCAAGGCGACGAUACAUAGCCGACCUGAGAGGGUGAUCGGCCACACUGGGACUGAGACACGGCCCAGACUCCUACGGGAGGCAGCAGUAGGGAAUCUUCGGCAAUGGACGGAAGUCUGACCGAGCAACGCCGCGUGAGUGAAGAAGGUUUUCGGAUCGUAAAGCUCUGUUGUAAGAGAAGAACGAGUGUGAGAGUGGAAAGUUCACACUGUGACGGUAUCUUACCAGAAAGGGACGGCUAACUACGUG